rnacentral:pre_miRNA from 1 species
CGUCGUUACGCUAGAGAGAAUUGGACUUCUGUGAAAGUGGAGUGUUGCUUUAUUUGAGUGUUUUGUUUUAAUUGAAUGAAGUAUGUUUAGUUAUAGAACCACGUUCGAUUCUAUUUAUGCUUAUGA